GGUGCAGUCAAAUACUUAUCAAGUCGGUGCAUGAGUCAAGAUAGAAUUGACCUCUUUGAAUUAGUAGGAGAUAUGCAUCAGUGUAUUUCAAUUUAGUAAAAUCUUGAUCAGGAUAAUCCAUGUGAUGGAUUUGAAAGUUUAAAAUACAAUGUGGUUGACUAAUUUAGAUUUGACAGCUAAAUACUAGGUCAUUUUGAGCAUUAAGAUCAAAGGGAUGAAU
rnacentral:lncRNA from 1 species